CCAGGCUUUGUCCCCGUGCGAGGGAAGAGCGGUGCCGGGCGACAGGUGUAGCUGCCAGCUUAUUGCAGUCUGCAGAGCUCUUCUGUGUGACCCCAUGCCCCUGCUAUCUCUUGUCACUGCAAUUCCAGGCAAAGGGACAGCCAGCUUCCCAAGUGCUGCUUGAGCCCAGGAGAGGAAGAGCGGGGACUGAUGUGGAUGAGUGGCUGCAAGCAGAGACCCCCACUGGCCUGUAAAGGAUUAAAAGUAGAUGGCUCCUGCUUGAAGCAGGUAAAAGCACUUUAUUUUCCCCCCUUGAUCCUUCUGUGACUCAGAGCAAAACCCUGCUAUACGUAAAUAACUCUUCCAGCUCUGUGAACUGGAGGAAUCUGGCACAAGAAUGGCUCAGUAUUUUAGGAAAGCUGACUAUAAAUGAGCGCAGUGAAUUGUUAUGCAUACAUUUUAAACGUAAUACAAAUGGCUUUUGCCUUAUUAUCAUGUUGUAAUAAUGGAGUAAUUUACAUUUUUUGCUUUUCCAGAAAAAAAUGAAGAUAUAAUUCAGCUGACCAUGGGAAAUAAGUUUUUAUAAUCAACUGGAAAAAUAAAGCUGCAUUUCAAAAUA